UACGUAGGGCGCAAGCGUUAUCCGGAAUUAUUGGGCGUAAAGAGCUCGUAGGCGGUUUGUCACGUCUGCCGUGAAAAUCCGGGGCUCAACCCCGGACUUGCAGUGGGUACGGGCAGACUAGAGUGUGGUAGGGGAGACUGGAAUUCCUGGUGUAGCGGUGAAAUGCGCAGAUAUCAGGAGGAACACCGAUGGCGAAGGCAGGUCUCUGGGCAUUAACUGACGCUGAGGAGCGAAAGCAUGGGGAGCGAACAGG
rnacentral:rRNA from 1 species